rnacentral:rRNA from 1 species
GGUGGCUAAUACCGGAUAUGACCAUGCUCGGCAUCGGGUGUGGUGGAAAGUUUUUUCGGCCAGGGAUGUGCUCGCGGCCUAUCAGCUUGUUGGUGGGGUAAAUGGCCUACCAAGGCUUCGACGGUAGCCGGCCUGAGAGGUGACCGGCCACACUGGGACUGAGACACGGCCCAGACUCCUACGGGAGGCAGCAGUGGGGAAUAUUGGACCAAUGGGCGGAAGCCUGAUCCAGCAACGCCGCGUGAGGGAUGACGGCCUUCGGGUUGUAAACCUCUUUCAGUACCGACGAAGCGCCGAUGAUGGUGGUGACGGUAGGUACAGAAGAAGCACCGGCCAACUACGUG